ACAACGCCUCUCAUGAACCAUUUCCAGGGAAUAAUCAAUGGUGCAUUGCUUGACCUUGAUGGUGAAUGCAACAUUUAUUAUGCUCCAGCAUUUAUCUCCAGUUUGGCAAAAUAUUUCCUUCCACAUGCCACUCUGUGGUCUGGAAUGAUGCUAGGUAGGUUUGAGUCAUUGGUUUAAGAUGACAAAUUAUUCAAUACAGCAUUUGUGUCCAGUUCUUUCACAAACUUUAAAUGGUCUUCAGGGGAUCUAGGACGUCACGGGACGGGCCCUGUGUACCAUCAACUAAGUAGAGUGUACAACAAGGUUAAACAGUCAAAGAAACAGAACUUUACUCAAGAUAACCGCACCCAAGGUAUUAUGGAAAAAAGUCAAUGGGACCUAAAGAACAUCCGGUUCCAAAGGAGGAGGUGCAAAAGGCUUGAUGACUUUGUAGCAGUUUACCAACACAUGCAUGAUGCUCUCCUCCUUGAAUAUGCGGAUAUGGAGAGAUGCAGGAAAAAAGUAUGGAAUACUACUUAAAGUCAGUUCAGUGUAAAUGCCUUACUUGGUAGUUUAACCUGAUCACAAUUUUUGUAUAUAUGUGGGUUUGUGUCUGAAAACAUGUAUAUAUUGAAGUCAUUUAAAGUGGAAAUGGAGGUGUGGAAAAAAAGCAGGAAGCGUAAAGGCAUGUACGUUUCACCGUCAGUGAUGGACCUGUCUUUCAAGG